AGAAAUUCUGGGCAUCAUCUCAGAAUAUAAGAGUAAAGGAAAUGACAUGAGAACUUAUAGUCUCAAGGUAAAGAUGUAUUAUAAUCUAUUAUCCACUCAGCAAAUAUUUUCAGUGGUUAUAUCCUGAGGAUUGUUCUAGUGUCAUAUGAACAAUGCAGACAAAAAUCCAUGCCUUCUUAUGGAUGGUCUGAGCAAUGGGUCUUAUUAUGUGCAAGCUUUAUCAAGUAGAACUAAUCAAAGAGCACUGAUAUUUUUACCUAUCAGGUUGCUGUUCUUUACAUGAAAAGAUCUGUGUCCAUCCUGUGAGACCACGUUCUUAUACACACAAGGAGCGUUGUGCCCCAUAAAGAACACUGACUCACCAGACAGAGAGAAGACGUCCACCCUCAGACUUUAAGCUCCAUGGGGCCAGAACCUUGUCUCAAGACAUCACCACUACACAGGAAAUGUCCCUUAACGGCAUAGCAGGGCCAAUAACUACUUGUGGUUGUUAAUGAAGGAAAUCUGAGGCACUCCCACCACACAGCUCACAACUAAAGAAAAAAGUCUCUAAGUGUGUGAAAGACCAGAAUGUUAAAGGUCAGGUUAAAGAUCAGCCUCUGAUUAAGGAAACCCAAUAAGGAUAAAUUCCAGCCUGCAGAGGUCCAGGCAGAACCAUCAAAAGGAUGAAAACAAGGAACAGCUGGAGGGGGUGUUGCUUCCAGUGGAUGAAGGAGUGAGAUGCUACCAUUGACUGACGUUAUCUUGUCCUGGACAAUUGUGGGAGGAACAGUGAAGAGGAAUCAGACCUUUAAAAAUAUAAAAACAAUUCUUAACUGGAGGGACCUACAAAGACAUGAUUUUGUAACACCAGUCUACUGUUUGAUUUUCUAUCUCAUUCCCCUUCUGAAGACAUGCUGUGAGAAAUUCCAGAACCAGAGGAAAACGCUGGGUCUUACCUCUCCCAGAGCCUGUGGUGCAAACCAAGACCCAGCAUGCAGGGUAUAG
rnacentral:lncRNA from 1 species